GAUGAACGCUGGCGGCGUGCCUAAUACAUGCAAGUCGAGCGAAAAGAUGAGGAGCUUGCGCCCCUGACGUCAGCGGCGGACGGGAGCGUAACACGUGGAUAACCUACCUAUAAGACUGGGAUAAUUUUGGGAAACCGGAGCUACUACCGGAUAAUUUAUUGAAUCGCAUGGGUCAAUCGUGAAAUUAGGUUUUUCUGAGACUUAUAGCUGGCUCAGCGUCGCAUUAGCUAGUUGGCUAGGUAACGGCUUACCAACGCAACGACGCGUAAACGACCUGAGAGGGUGAUCGGCCACACUGGAACUGAGACACGGUCCAGACUCCUACGGUGAGCAACAGUAGGGAAUCUUCCGCGAGGGACGAGAGCCUAACGGUGCAACGCCGGGGAAGUGAUGAAGGUCUUCUGAUCGUAAAACUCUGAUGGUAUGAAAGAACAAAUGUGUAAGUAACUAUGCUCGUCUUGACGGUACCGAAACAAAAAGCCACGGCUAACUACGUG
rnacentral:rRNA from 1 species